rnacentral:rRNA from 1 species
AUGUUUAUUUAUUUUGUACUCCUUACAACUGUUUAUGUGCUUCGAUAUGUUUGCUUGCUUAAUAAUUUUCCAUGUUUACUUUGUGUAGUUCUUCCUACACCUGUUGUUAGUCGUGUUGAUGCUGUUUGGAAUCGUCGGAAGCGAAGGAUUCUUCGAGAUUAUUACACUGGUAAAAAAAAGGCGUUUCACGUGUUCGCUCCUAUUAUGGUGGUCCUGAGUAUGUUUGCCCGGCGUGCCAUGCUUCAUUUUGGUUUUUGGAGGGCUGUAAGAGUUAUGCUACUAGUGGUGGUCGCCUUCCAGUGUAUACUGGCUGUUGCAAGGGAGGCAAGGCGUCGUUGCCUUCAUUUCCCGAUUGGCCAUCUCCUCUUAAGGAUUUGA